AUAAGAAUGAUGCUGGAGUUUUGCCAGAAGUAAGUUUGGCAGUCGGAACCCUGACAUAGUAACAUCUGGCCAUUUCCCAACAAAUAAAUGAAGACAUAAUUGACUGGCUAAGAAAAAUGUCAGCAGACUACACAAUAACAAAUAUAGAUAUCAGAAUGAAUGGAGAGCAGAAUAGGCAACACGUGUAAGAAAGCAAGACAAGUGUCUUUAAAGAAC